UUGCAGAAUCCAGCAUUCUGUCGCUCACUUACCAGAAACAACACAGUGGCUGUUUACGGCUUCAUGGAUUUUAAUUCUUUCGUAUUUCGUAGCAUAUCUGGAGACUGUAGCCAUUUCCAAUGAUCGAUGAGGAACAAAGUGUUGGUUGGGAGUUGGCAAGAGUGGGUGUUGAUGCUUUAGGUGCUGCAAUGCUAGUCACCAUCAUACUCGGACCUUCCAAAUUCUAAUACAACUUUCAAUUUGUAAUCUCCUGGCUUCUUUGACACAUGACCAACUCUUCUAUAACUGUAUUCAAAUCUUUUCCACUCUUGUAUAGCUGUAUCAUGUUUGAUUCAUAUUGGCAGACAUUCUAACCAACACACUCACUUAUGAUGUUUUCCAGUUAAUUCA